CCUACGGUGGGCAGCAGUGAGGAAUAUUGGUCAAUGGACGAGAGUCUGAACCAGCCAAGUAGCGUGAAGGAUGACUGCCCUAUGGGUUGUAAACUUCUUUUAUAUGGGAAUAAAACAGGGUAUGCAUACCCUCUUGUAUGUACCAUAUGAAUAAGGAUCGGCUAACUCCGUGCCAGCAGCCGCGGUAAUACGGAGGAUCCGAGCGUUAUCCGGAUUUAUUGGGUUUACAGGGAGCGUAGAUGGGUUGUUAAGUCAGUUGUGAAAGUUUGCGGCUCAACCGUAAGAUUGCAAUUGAUACUGGCAGCCGUGAGUACAGUUGAGGUAGGCGGAAUUCGUGGUGUAGCGGUGAAAUGCUUAGAUAUCACGAAGAACUCCGAUUGCGAAGGCAGCCUACUAAACUGCCACUGACAUUGAUGCUCGAAAGUGUGGGUAUCAAACAGGAUUAGAUACCCCUGUAGUC
rnacentral:rRNA from 1 species